GUAAAAUGUUGAAUGCAUAACUUUUUAAGUAAUAUUUUUACAUUUUAGCAUAUAAGUGGCCUACUUUUACAUGAAUAUGAGCUCAGAAUAUCUAUGCUGCACGUAAACACUGAAAUGCGUGAAAUGUGGAGCAAUCCUAUCAGUCUAACAAUUCCUGUAAACCAGGUGUUAAUUCCCGUAAAUCCCAAACCUUUCAGUUUCCUUCUGACUGACAGAGGGAAGUUAUUCACACGGAUUUCCCCGUUUGGAAAAAACCCUUGAAUUAAGCAGCAGGCAACGAAGCAGUCAGUCGCUCGGCGGAGAAGGCAAGUGGACGGAUGCAAGUGCAGUCGGCUCCUGUGUGUUUCAGUGUUGGAGCCCAAAGUAAUUAAAAAGACGUCCAUCAGACUAUGACCGUGGAAGCUUCGCAUAAUGGGACCCAGAGCAUGACCAGGUUAACCACUACAACCACAAUCAAACACAUAGAUGCCAAAGCAAGAUACCUUUUGUUUCAUGGCGGUCGCUAGUUUUCCGAUCACUUCAGGCCAUCAAAAUAUCAACCUUCCUUGAGAGAGCCAGUCCAUCACAAUGACCAUACAGUCACAGGUACAGGUAAAAUAAAUUUUCAUUUUGUAUAUUUUCAAAGUUCUGAAUCAUUCCCACUGAGGUAUUAAGAUUAAAAUAACAGCAAUAAAAUAACUAGCUUCAAAUAAAUGUUCACCCCUUAUU